GGCUGGUUGGCUCAGUCAGUAGAGCACGAGACUCUUGAUCUUGGGGUUGUUAAGUUUGAGUCUCACACUGGUUG
rnacentral:tRNA from 1 species